UGGCUCAGGAUGAACGCUAGCGACAGGCUUAACACAUGCAAGUCGAGGGGCAUCACGGGAGGUAGCAAUACCUUCUGGUGGCGACCGGCGCACGGGUGAGUAACACGUAUGCAACCUGCCCUGUACAGAGGGACAAGCGGUGGAAACGCCGUCUAAUCCCGCAUGCACUCUUCCGGGGGCAUCCCCGGGAGAGUAAAGGAGAGAUCCGGUACAGGAUGGACAUGCGGCGCAUUAGUUAGUUGGCGGGGUAACGGCCCACCAAGACGACGAUGCGUAGGGGUUCUGAGAGGAAGGUCCCCCACAUUGGAACUGAGACACGGUCCAAACUCCUACGGGAGGCAGCAGUGAGGAAUAUUGGUCAAUGGGCGGAAGCCUGAACCAGCCAAGUAGCGUGAGGGAUGACUGCCCUAUGGGUUGUAAACCUCUUUUAUAAGGGAAUAAAAUACGGGACGUGUCCUGUUUUGCAUGUACCUUAUGAAUAAGGACCGGCUAAUUCCGUGCCAGCAGCCGCGGUAAUACGGAAGGUCCGGGCGUUAUCCGGAUUUAUUGGGUUUAAAGGGAGCGCAGGCGGUCUUAUAAGCGUGACGUGAAAUGCAGCGGCUCAACCGUAUGAUGUGCGUCGCGAACUGUGAGACUUGAGUGUAUUCGAUGUCAGCGGAAUUUGUGGUGUAGCGGUGAAAUGCUUAGAUAUCACGAAGAACUCCGAUUGCGAAGGCAGCAUACCGGCAGCCCACUGACGCUGAGGCACGAAAGCGUGGGGAUCAAACAGGAUUAGAUACCCUGGUAGUCCACGCAGUAAACGAUGGAUGUUAGCUGUUCGGAGCGAAUGAGUUCUGAGUGGCACAGCGAAAGCGUUAAACAUCCCACCUGGGGAGUACGCCGGCAACGGUGAAACUCAAAGGAAUUGACGGGGGCCCGCACAAGCGGAGGAACAUGUGGUUUAAUUCGAUGAUACGCGAGGAACCUUACCCGGGCUCAAACGGCACAGUGAUACUUUUGAAAGGAGGUAGCUCUACGGAGACUGUGCCGAGGUGCUGCAUGGUUGUCGUCAGCUCGUGCCGUGAGGUGUCGGCUUAAGUGCCAUAACGAGCGCAACCCCUAUUGUCAGUUGCCAGCAGGUAAAGCUGGGGACUCUGACGAGACUGCCGGCGCAAGCUGAGAGGAAGGCGGGGAUGACGUCAAAUCAGCACGGCCCUUACGUCCGGGGCGACACACGUGUUACAAUGGCAGGCACAGCGGGAAGCCACCCGGCGACGGGGAGCGGAACCCGAAAGCCUGUCUCAGUUCGGAUCGGAGUCUGCAACUCGACUCCGUGAAGCUGGAUUCGCUAGUAAUCGCGCAUCAGCCAUGGCGCGGUGAAUACGUUCCCGGGCCUUGCACUCACCGCCCGU
rnacentral:rRNA from 1 species